rnacentral:lncRNA from 1 species
AGACCUCACAGAGCCUCGUCCCAGGCAGGACCGAGGCUGCAGCACCCAGGGAUGAGCGUGAUGUGGCCUGGCCCCGGGGGUGGCUGCCAGGUCAGGAGGCCAUGGCACUGUGUUCAGCCAACAGGGAGCCCAGGGGGACGCAUCUCAGAACUGCGGGACUUAGGGGCCCACAGUAGUUACUGAAGGGCUCGGACACCCAGCCCGGAGAGUGACCCAUCCUGUCUAAACAGCCCCAGAAGGAGGCCAAAUGGAGCGGGUACUCACGGUGACCCAGCAGCGCUUGGCCAGAGCUAGUGUUGCCUCCUCCCCAUCUUCGUCCCUGCCCCCAGCCCAGGGCCUGGGGGCUCGGGGAGGCGGCAGAUUGGCCGAUUCAAGGACUGGCCCAAGGUUCUUCCAGGGGAGGAGCCUGGGCUCAUCCCAGACCCCAGGAGGAGGGGGAGUAUUUGGUCUUUGUCUGAGCGCACAAACUCUUGAAAUCUGUAGGCGUCACCAGAGGGCUGGAUUAGCGAGGCUUCCUCUGAGCAAAGCCUUCUGCCUUCUUCCAGCCCCUCCGAGUCCAGGGAGUCUUGAGCUCACACUUUAAAGGACAUCGCUUCUUCCAGAGCUGCCAGUGGAGUUGCCCAUGGCUCUCAGAAGCCUGGCCUGAGGCUCAGGAAACAGUGACAGAGACCCAGUGAGAUUGGAGUAGGGCCAUGCGGGGCACCCAACAGCCCAGACAAGGCAGCAGUCAGGGCCUCAGACCAGCACCUUCUUAGAAGAUCACAGGGAGAGUGGCCUGAGGAGCGAGGGUACCUGCCAUCACCGAGAGCCCCGGCUUCAGACAGGGAGCUGAGGCUCCAAGACUCGUCCCAGGUUGCUCAGUGGGUCAGCGGCCACGCAGGGCCAUGGAAACGGCUGUGAUUGGAGUGGUGGCCGUGCUGUUUGUGGUCACUGUGGCCAUCACCUGCGUCCUCUGUUGCUUCAGCUGUGACUCGAGGGCCCGGGAUCCUCAGAGGGGCCCAGGCCACAGCUUCACGGUGGCCACGUUUCGCCAGGAGGCUUCUCUCUUCACGGGGCCAGGUUGCCAUAUCCAACCAGUGGCGGGUGCCCGGGACUUCUGGACCUUCAUGUGAGACCUGCCAGCUCUCGGCCUUUGCUCUGCUGGUGGUCAGACUUGUUUAUGCCCCAGCAAGCCUUCUCUGGUGACCCACUCCUCCAACGCUGGCUUUCCCGUCCUUCCCUGCCUGUGUCCAGUAAACCCUGUCCCAUGUCCUGCAGCCUGGGAGAUCCAUGGUGAUAGGACCAGGUGGGAGUCAGCUCUGACCUCCAAGAGCUCAGCUGGAUCCUAACCACAGGAUGGGGCUUAGGAGAGGUCCAGAGGGUGAGUGACUGAGUGUUGGAUGGCAUGGUGGACCAGGUCUUCUGAUCUACACAGUGAACUGAAAUCUCACCGAACUUUAUUGUGAAGAGUGUUGGGAGUUCCCAUCAUGGCACAGUGGAAAUGAAUCCGACUAGGAACCAUGAGGUUGCGGGUUCGAUCCCUGGCCUUGCUCAGUGGGUCAAGGAUCUGGCGUUGCUGAGAGCUGUGGUGUAGGUCACAGGGGCUGCUCAGAUCUGGCGUUGCUGUGGCUGUGGUGUAGGCCGGUGGCUACAGCUCUGAUUUGACCCCUAGCCUGGAAACCUCCACAUGCCAUAUAUGGCCCUGAAAAAACAAAAAGACAAAAAAAAAAAAAAAAAAAAAAGAGUGUUGGUUAACUCAGCUUAUCCCUGGAUGCCUGUGACCUGUGAAACUGAUUCUGUUGCCACCAGAGGAAGCAGAGCCCUCAAGUGGACAGUUUUACCAAUGACGUCUUCUCUGUUCCCGUAAUUGAGCCAGUUUGCUACUUGCUUGUGCGCAUCCUGCAGAGCUCACCCCUGACACCUGCGCCCUGCUCGUUACCUGAAAUCAGCAGUGAAAUUCUGAAACCAAAGGGCUGCUUCCUGGGAACUGGUGAUUUAUUUUAUAAUUGAACAUGCCUAUCCUUUUAUGGGUCUCCUAAGAAUCGGGGUUGGGAAACCACAAAAGGAAACAGAAGAGAAAGAGUCACAGAAAGCCCAAGAUGUUUUAUUAACAGGAAAGCCAGAAAGAAGACUUUGCAACAUGUUUGGUAUGAGAAUUUAUCACUAAAUUCUUACAGAUCACUUCGAAGAUACUGUGAGGGACUUGGGUCCCUCAGGAAUGAUAGAAAAAUCGGCAACUGAAAGGUGAUUUUGAGUAAGUUAAAAUGUUUCACUGACAGAUUGUAACAAAGCUCUUGCUUGCAUCACAAAUAAAGAGAUGUUCAGUUUUUAUU